rnacentral:misc_RNA from 1 species
GAUGAAGAACGUAGCGAAAUGCGAUACUUGGUGUGAAUUGCAGAAUCCCGUGAACCAUCGAGUCUUUGAACGCAAGUUGCGCCCGAAGCCACUAGGCCGAGGGCACGCCUGCCUGGGCGUCACACGCCGUUGCCCCCCCAUCUACUCCUUCGGGAUUGCGGGGGGGCGGAUGAUGGCCUCCCGUGCGCCUAGCCGCGCGGUUGGCAUAAAUACCAAGUCCUCGGCGACGCACGCCACGACAAUCGGUGGUUGCGAAACCGCGGUUGCCCGUCGUGUGCGUUCGUCGCGCAUCGAGGGCUCGAAAAAAUGCUCGGCUCCGGCUGUGCUUUCAACGCGACCCCAGGUCAGGCGGGGUUACCCGCUGAAUUUAAGCAUAUCAAUAAGCGGAGGA